CAGCCAUAUCACAUUGAAGCACCAGUACUUGUCUGAUCAUCAAAGUUAAGCAACAUUGAACCUGUUCAGUACCUAGAUGGGUGACCACUUGGGAAUAUCAAGUACUGUAAU